CUCAAAAUCUCUCCUAUCCCUAAACCAUCGCCAAUCUCCCUAAAUCCGUAUAACAGACUUUGAUGAAAUCCCUAACCCAAAUUCGAUUUAUCAAAUCUCUCCUAUCCCUAAACCAUCGCCAACAGAUUGUGAUGAAAUCGCUAACCCAAAUUCCCCCAAAAUCGAUCUCAUCUCAAAACUCUCUCCUAUCCCUAAACCCAAAUCGAUUUCAUCGCCAACAGACUUUGAUGAAAACCCAAACCCAAAUUCGAUUUCAUCGGUUCCAACAGAGAUGCAUAUAUAUUUCAUCCAUAUUUUCAAUCUAUUAGCGUAUGUCAUCCUCAACAAACUUCAAACAGAGGAGGUAAUCUAUUUUUCUCAUAUUUUUGCAGGGUUCCGAUUCAUUGAAGAUAAGACACACAGCAGUUUCUCAUAAAAGGUGAAUCCCUUUGGUAACCUUAAUCCUGAAUGUGGGGUUCUUCAUCACCUAAUAGCAGAGACAAAAGAAAAUCCCCUCAUCCUCAAUUCAACCCCAUUACUAAUGGUAAAAGAGAAGAAAGAAAUGAUGAAAAGAAACAGAGAAUUGAAGCCAAUUGAAGGGGGAAUCAAAUGGAAAAACAAGCAAAAGAGAAUUCUAUUGAUAGUGGAGGAGGAGGUCCUACUAAAGACAACAACUACAUUCAUAUGAGAGCCAAAAGAGGUCAGACUACAAACAGUCACAGCCUUGCAGAAAUGGUUCGGAGAGAAAGGAUCAGCGAGAGAAUGAAACUGCUUCAAUAACUUGUUCCUGGCUGCAAUAAGGAAGUACGAAAAAAUUAGUUCUCCAUGUGUUGAGGACUUCUGUUUCAUCACAGACAGCACCUACACUAGACAAGAGGUACCGGACAUGUAGUGUCAAGUUCUGGACAUAUUGAGCUUUCAUCUUUUUGUUCCAAAUAGAGAGGAACAUUGGAAUUGAAAUACCAGAAACUGUACGAGCCAUUGUAUUCAAAGGUAUAUGAGUUUUCUUAUGUCUGGUCAUUGUCGGAUUGACAUAUGGUCAUUGUCCUGUUACUGUGUUUACAUUGCAUGUUGCAUUUGUAGGCUGUUCUUUUUUAAAAUUAAUGGGAUGGGGAGGGAUAUAGGUCAGCAAAAUCAUUUAUUCGUGGGAUCUUUAGUUUGUUUGACUAUGCGGGCUACUUGCUUGCCUAAUGAAAUUUUCAGAAAAUUUACCUUUUUAGCAUCCCAUUUCUCAUGAUGUCACUUCCAAGUGCCACAUCUUACAAUGGGAGGGGAAGAAGAUUGGUGAACUAUGAGAAUGAAUAAGAGAACCGAAGAAGUAAUAGGCAGUUUUGAAAAGUACAAACAGAUCUAAG